UGGCGGAAUGCUUUACACAUGCAAGUCGAACGGCAGCACGGACUUCGGUCUGGUGGCGAGUGGCGAACGGGUGAGUAACAUAUCGGAACGUAUCCAAUAAUGGGGGAUAACUAAUCGAAAGGUUGGCUAAUACCGCAUACGCCCUACGGGGGAAAGCAGGGGAUCUUCGGACCUUGCGUUAAUGGAGCGGCUGAUAUCUGAUUAGCUAGUUGGUGAGGUAAAGGCUCACCAAGGCGACGAUCAGUAGCUGGUCUGAGAGGACGACCAGCCACACUGGAACUGAGACACGGUCCAGACUCCUACGGGAGGCAGCAGUGGGGAAUUUUGGACAAUGGGCGCAAGCCUGAUCCAGCCAUUCCGCGUGAGUGAAGAAGGCCUUCGGGUUGUAAAGCUCUUUCGCAAGGGAAGAAAACUUACUUUCUAAUAAAGAGUGAGGUUGACGGUACCUUGAUAAGAAGCACCGGCUAACUACGUGCCAGCAGCCGCGGUAAUACGUAGGGUGCGAGCGUUAAUCGGAAUUACUGGGCGUAAAGCGUGCGCAGGCGGUUUUGUAAGUCAGAUGUGAAAUCCCCGAGCUCAACUUGGGAACUGCGUUUGAAACUACAAGACUAGAAUAUGUCAGAGGGGGGUAGAAUUCCACGUGUAGCAGUGAAAUGCGUAGAGAUGUGGAGGAAUACCAAUGGCGAAGGCAGCCCCCCGGGAUAAUAUUGACGCUCAUGCACGAAAGCGUGGGGAGCAAACAGGAUUAGAUACCCUGGUAGUCCACGCCCUAAACGAUGUCUACUAGUUGUUGGUGGAGUAAAAUCCAUGAGUAACGCAGCUAACGCGUGAAGUAGACCGCCUGGGGAGUACGGUCGCAAG
rnacentral:rRNA from 1 species